rnacentral:rRNA from 1 species
GAUGAACGCUGGCGGCGUGCCUAAUACAUGCAAGUCGAGCGAACAGACGAGGAGCUUGCUCCUCUGACGUUAGCGGCGGAAGGGUGAGUAACACGUGGAUAACCUACCUAUAAGACUGGGAUAACUUCGGUAAACCGGAGCUAAUACCGGAUAAUAUAUUGAACCGCAUGGUUCAAUAGUGAAAGACGGUUUUGCUGUCACUUAUAGAUGGAUCCGCGCCGCAUUAGCUAGUUGGUAAGGUAACGGCUUACCAAGGCAACGAUGCGUAGCCGACCUGAGAGGGUGAUCGGCCACACUGGAACUGAGACACGGUCCAGACUCCUACGGGAGGCAGCAGUAGGGAAUCUUCCGCAAUGGGCGAAAGCCUGACGGAGCAACGCCGCGUGAGUGAUGAAGGUCUUCGGAUCGUAAACCUCUGUUAUUAGGGAAGAACAAAUGUGUAAGUAACUAUGCACGUCUUGACGGUACCUAAUCAGAAAGCCACGGCUAACUACGUG